GCAGCAGCGGGUGUGGGGCUGGACAUUGGAACCACCUGGUGUAAGGUGGAGCAUCCACCCGGUGUGGGGCUGAACAUCACCUCAUAUGGGGCUAAGAGGUCACCUCAUAUAGGGCCAAGCAUCACCCCAUACAGGGCUGAGCAUCACUAUGGGGUCACCGCUGUCCAGCACAGGGCUGAGCAUCAGUAAAGGGCUGAACACCAGUAUGGGGCUGAGCAUUGCCCAGUACGGGGUCAAGCAUCAAUCCAGGGCUGAGCGGCAGCACAGGGAUCCCAAAAAUCCUAAAGCUCCAGGGAAGGAUCAAAGCCCAAGAUCACCUCCAGCUCUGAGGGACACAAAAACGGCCUUUUGAAAUUAAAAUUUAUCAUUUUAUAA